UGGUAUUUGCCCAUCACUUAAAUAAGUAGUCGAUCUUAAAAUUGAAAAUAAAGGGGGGAUAUAGCUUAUAAAUCGGAUAUCGACUAACCAUCCCUAACCCCACUUUUCAGUGGUUAGUUAAUGUGUCGCCUUUACCCAAAUCGAUAAAGGUCGAAAUCGACUUCUAUGAAAUUAUAAUAAUAAAUUUAACCGGUCAAUUCAAAUGGGAAUCAAUCACCUAUUCUGUUUCAAAUUGCAUUGUAAACGUUGCAUUCUAUUAUUUUAACAAAACCUAAGGCUGAACUCGAUUAUAUUGACAAUGCAAGUACCAUUCGAGAAUUAACCAGCGAGUAUUGCUUUUUGUGUGGUAAAUCGGAC
rnacentral:misc_RNA from 1 species